rnacentral:rRNA from 1 species
AGACCCGAAACCCGGUGAUCUAGCCAUGGGCAGGUUGAAGGUUGGGUAACACUAACUGGAGGACCGAACCGACUAAUGUUGAAAAAUUAGCGGAUGACCUGUGGCUGGGGGUGAAAGGCCAAUCAAACCGGGAGAUAGCUGGUUCUCCCCGAAAGCUAUUUAGGUAGCGCCUCGUGAAUUCAUCUCCGGGGGUAGAGCACUGUUUCGGCUAGGGGGCCAUCCCGGCUUACCAACCCGAUGCAAACUGCGAAUACCGGAGAAUGUUAUCACGGGAGACACACGGCGGGUGCUAACGUCCGUCGUGAAGAGGGAAACAACCCAGACCGCCAGCUAAGGUCCCAAAGUCAUGGUUAAGUGGGAAACGAUGUGGGAAGGCCCAGACAGCCAGGAUGUUGGCUUAGAAGCAGCCAUCAUUUAAAGAAAGCGUAAUAGCUCACUGGUCGAGUCGGCCUGCGCGGAAGAUGUAACGGGGCUAAACCAUGCACCGAAGCUGCGGCAGCGAACGUAUCACCCAAGACAACUUUACGGAGUUGACGAUUGACGGAGCGAAGCGACGUCAAAGCGUUCAUUAAAGUCAAGUUGGCUUAGGGAUACGUUCGUUGGGUAGGGGAGCGUUCUGUAAGCCUGUGAAGGUGUGUCGUGAGGCAUGCUGGAGGUAUCAGAAGUGCGAAUGCUGACAUAAGUAACGAUAAAGCGGGUGAAAAGCCCGCUCGCCGGAAGACCAAGGGUUCCUGUCCAACGUUAAUCGGGGCAGGGUGAGUCGACCCCUAAGGCGAGGCCGAAAGGCGUAGUCGAUGGGAAACGGGUUAAUAUUCCCGUACUUGGUGUUACUGCGAAGGGGGGACGGAGAAGGCUAUGUUGGCCGGGCGACGGUUGUCCCGGUUUAAGCGUGUAGGUGUGUGUUCCAGGUAAAUCCGGUUCACUUUAACACUGAGGCGUGACGACGAGGCACUACGGUGCUGAAGCAACAAAUGCCCUGCUUCCAGGAAAAGCCUCUAAGCAUCAGGUAACACGAAAUCGUACCCCAAACCGACACAGGUGGUCAGGUAGAGAAUACCAAGGCGCUUGAGAGAACUCGGGUGAAGGAACUAGGCAAAAUGGUGCCGUAACUUCGGGAGAAGGCACGCUGACACGUAGGUGAAGUGAUUUACUCAUGGAGCUGAAGUCAGUCGAAGAUACCAGCUGGCUGCAACUGUUUAUUAAAAACACAGCACUGUGCAAACACGAAAGUGGACGUAUACGGUGUGACGCCUGCCCGGUGCCGGAAGGUUAAUUGAUGGGGUCA